rnacentral:rRNA from 1 species
UGUGAUUGCAGAAUUCAGUGAAUCAUCGAAUCUUUGAACGCACCUUGCGCUCCUUGGUAUUCCGAGGAGCAUGCCUGUUUGAGUGUCAUGAAAUUCUCAACCUACAAGCCUUUUCGGAGGUYCUUGUACGGCUUGGACUUGGAGGGAUCAUUGUCGGCAGCGAUGUCGGCUCCUCUUAAACGCAUUAGCUAGUUCUCGCGGAACGGCUUUCGGUGUGAUAAUUGUCUACGCCGUGGUCGUACCGAGUAUAUGGACGAGCUUCUAAACCGUCACUCCUUGUGAGAGACACAUAUCUUGACAUCUGACCUCAAAUCAGGUA